UACAGAGGUCUCAAGCGUUUGUUCGGAUUCAUUGGGCGUAAAGGGGUGCGUAGGCGGCGCGGUAAGUCGGGUGUGAAAUCUCGGAGCUUAACUCCGAAACUGCAUUCGAUACUGCCGUGCUUGAGGACUGGAGAGGAGACUGGAAUUUACGGUGUAGCGGUGAAAUGCGUAGAUAUCGUAAGGAAGACCAGUGGCGAAGGCGGGUCUCUGGACAGUUCCUGACGCUGAGGCACGAAGGUCAGGGGAGCAAACGGG
rnacentral:rRNA from 1 species